GAGUGCUCACUUUGACAUAUAAAUACUAAAAUUGAAAUGGUACAGAAAAGAUUAGCCGUGCCCUUGCUUAGGGAUGACACAAGUUUGUGAAGCAUUCCAUAUUAAA